UACGUAGGGUGCGAGCGUUGCCCGGAUUUAUUGGGCGUAAAGGGCGCGUAGGCGGCCACGCACGUCCGUUGUGAAAUCGCCCGGCUCAACUGGGCGGGGUCAGCGGAUACGGUGUGGCUAGAGCAAGCUAGGGGGCAAUGGAAUUCCCGGUGUAGUGGUGGAAUGCGUAGAUAUCGGAAGGAACACCAGUGGCGAAGGCGACUUUCUGGCCUAAUACUGACACUGAAUUGCGAAAGCGUGGGUAGCGAACAGG
rnacentral:rRNA from 1 species